GGCGUAAGCGCGCGCAGGUGGUUUCUUAAGUCUGAUGUGAAAGCCCACGGCUCUACCGUGGAGGGUCAUUGGAAACUGGGAGACUUGAGUGCACAAGAGGAAAGUGGAAUUCCAUGUGUAGCGGUGAAAUGCGUAGAGAUAUGGAGGAACACCAGUGGCGAAGGCGACUCUCUGGUCUGUAACUGACACUGAGGCGCGAAAGCGUGGGGAGCAAACAGGAUUACAUACCCUGGUAGUCCACGCCGUAGACGAUGAGUGCU
rnacentral:rRNA from 1 species